AUACGUAGGGGGCAAGCGUUGUCCGGAUUCACUGGGUGUAAAGGGCGCGUAGGCGGGUUGGUAAGUUAGAGGUGAAAUCCUACGGCUCAACCGUAGAACUGCCUCUAAUACUGCUAACCUUGAGUGCAGAAGAGAGAAGCGGAAUUCCAGGUGUAGUGGUGAAAUACGUAGAUAUCUGGAAGAACACCAGUAGCGAAGGCGGCUUCUUGGUCUGUUACUGACGCUCAGGCGCGAAAGCGUGGGGAUCAAACAGGAUUAGAUACCCUGGUAGUCCACGCUGUAAACGAUGAAUACUAGGUGUCGGGUUUUAUACUCGGUGCCGCAGCUAACGCAUUAAGUAUUCCACCUGGGGAGUACGAUCGCAAGGUUGAA
rnacentral:rRNA from 1 species